GACGAACGCUGGCGGCGUGCCUAAUACAUGCAAGUAGAACGCAGUUUCGAACGGGUGAGAAACGCGUAGGUAACCUGCCUCCUAGCGGGGGAUAACUCUUGGAAACGCUAGCUAAUACCGCAUACUGUGAGAUGGACCUGCGUUGUAUUAGUUAGUUGGUGAGGUAAAGGCUCACCAAGGCGACGCUACAUAGCCGACCUGAGAGGGUGAUCGGCCACAGUGGGACUGAGACACGGCCCAGACUCCUACGGGAGGCAGCAGUAGGGAAUCUUCGGCAAUGGACGAAAGUCUGACCGAGCAACGCCGCGGGAGGGAGGACGGUUUGCGGGUCGGAAAGCUCUGUUGUUAGAGACGCGGUAACGAAACAGAAAGGGACGGCUAACUACGUGCCAGCAGCCGCGGUAAUAC
rnacentral:rRNA from 1 species